ACGGGGCGCAGCAGGCGCGAAACCUCCGCAAUGCGGGAAACCGCGACGGGGGGACCCCGAGUGCCGUGGCACCGCCACGGCUUUUCCGGAGUGUAAAAAGCUCCGGGAAUAAGGGCUGGGCAAGGCCGGUGGCAGCCGCCGCGGUAAUACCGGCGGCCCGAGUGGUGGCCGCUAUUAUUGGGCCUAAAGCGUCCGUAGCCGGGCCCGUAAGUCCCUGGCGAAAUCCCACGGCUCAACCGUGGGGCUUGCUGGGGAUACUGCGGGCCUUGGGACCGGGAGAGGCGGGGGGUACCCCUGGGGUAGGGGUGAAAUCCUAUAAUCCCAGGGGGACCGCCAGUGGCGAAGGCGCCCCGCUGGAACGGGUCCGACGGUGAGGGACGAAGGCCAGGGGAGCAAACCGGAUUAGAUACCCGGGUAGUCCUGGCUGUAAAGGAUGCGGGCUAGGUGUCGGGUGAGCUUCGAGCUCGCCCGGUGCCGUAGGGAAGCCGUUAAGCCCGCCGCCUGGGGAGUACGGCCGCAAGGCUGAAACUUAAAGGAAUUGGCGGGGGAGCAC
rnacentral:rRNA from 1 species